rnacentral:piRNA from 1 species
CUGAUGGAGCUCCUGAUGACCUAAUG